UGGGGAAUCUUCCGCAAUGGACGAAAGUCUGACGGAGCAACGCCGCGUGAGUGAAGACGGCCUUCGGGUUGUAAAGCUCUGUGAUCCGGGACGAAAGAGCCUUGGGUAAAUAGCCUAAGGAAGUGACGGUACCGGAAAAGCAAGCCACGGCUAACUACGUGCCAGCAGCCGCGGUAAUACGUAGGUGGCAAGCGUUGUCCGGAAUUAUUGGGCGUAAAGCGCGCGCAGGCGGCUUCCUAAGUCCAUCUUAAAAGUGCGGGGCUUAACCCCGUGAUGGGAUGGAAACUGGGAAGCUGGAGUAUCGGAGAGGAAAGUGGAAUUCCUAGUGUAGCGGUGAAAUGCGUAGAGAUUAGGAAGAACACCGGUGGCGAAGGCGACUUUCUGGACGAAAACUGACGCUGAGGCGCGAAAGCGUGGGGAGCAAACAGG
rnacentral:rRNA from 2 species